rnacentral:lncRNA from 1 species
CGCCCAUUUGAAUUCAUGCGAAAUGAGUUCUCAUGAAUUUUCUCCCAUGCAAAAGCCUUCCCAUGCCCUCUCUUGUGUGCCAAUUAUCUGGAUAAAGUUUGAUUUGUUGGCCAUUCAAAUUCAAAGAAUGUUUGAAUUUGAAUGGGCAACUAAUCCAUGCGCCCCCCCUUUAUUUUGUGCGCCCCUUCUUCCACACGAGAAAAGGUUUCUCGUGUAAAGUC